rnacentral:lncRNA from 1 species
UCAGAAUCAGUCUGAGGCUGAAGGUCUGUGGGCUGCCUGGAGAGCUGCUUGUCCACACUGGAAGGUGGCUGAGAAGCUGGGCUUUGGUGGUAGCCUAGCAACGGAUAGACACAAAGAAGUCAGGUUUGCUAGGCUGUGGAUUCUGGACAAGAGAACAGGAUCUGCUAGAAAAGCAAGGGAAAUACGGCUGCCUUGAAGGCCCCUCUCUGGAAUCUAAGUGGAGGUGCUUGGGGCAGUGCUGAUGCUCAGGCAAACGCUCCUA